UGGGGAAUUUUGCGCAAUGGGGGAAACCCUGAUGCAGCGACGCCGCGUGAUUUAGAAGGCCUUCGGGUUUUAAAAAUCUUUUCUAUGGGAAGAAAAUGACAGUACCAUAGGAAUAAGGACCGGCUAAUUACGUGCCAGCAGCCGCGGUAAUACGUAAGGUCCGAGCGUUGUCCGGAAUCAUUGGGCGUAAAGGGUACGUAGGAGGGUAAGCAAGUUAGAAGUGAAAUCCUAUAGCUCAAAUAUAGUAAGCUUUUAAAACUGCUCAUCUUGAGGUAUGGAAGGGAAAGUGGAAUUCCUAGUGUAGCGGUGAAAUGCGCAGAUAUUAGGAGGAAUACCGGUGGCGAAGGCGACUUUCUGGCCAUACCCUGACGCUGAGGUACGAAAGCGUGGGUAGCAAACAGG
rnacentral:rRNA from 1 species